AUGAUGCUGGCCUCAUAAAAUGAGUUACGGAGGAUUCCCUCUUUUUCUAUUGAUUGGAAUAGUUUCAGAAGGAAUGGUACCAGCUCCUCCUUGUAACUCUGGUAGAAUUCGGCUGUGAAUCCGUCUGUUCCUGGAUUUUUUUGGUUGCCCACAGUCUCCUGAAGCUCCAUAAAUGUCAGUGCUGCCUUGUAGUAAAAACCAGCUGUGUGUGGAGAAUCUUGUCGCUUUCAACCUGCAACACAAGCUCCGUCUGGCCCCACAAACUCUGGUGGUUUCUUUUUCCCCAGUUAAGUGCCUCUGCAUCAACCAUACCUGAUCUUCAGCCCAUGCUCAGACGCAGCCAAAUACUAAACGGAGGGAAUAGCCUGUAAUCAUGGAUCAACUAAGAAGGACUCUUUACAGAAAUUAUUUCUAGUCUCAAUCACUUCUAGUUUCCUGCUGUCUGUAACAAUAUUGUUUUUGGUUUAUUUUCUCUUCCUAGUUUUUGAAGGAAGAGUAGUAACCUACCCUGUACUACUACAUUCUACCCUGAAUUAGAAGUAUUUUAUCAAUUUCAAAAAAUGUUUGUAACAUUAUAUAUUAAAAUUAAAUGAUUAUUUACUUUUAUAAUUGUUUUUCUGAGGAAAAAAUCUACCAUAUUAAUGUUUCAUAAGUUUAAAUCAAGGUUCCAAGAGGAGUCAAGAUUUGUGAUUUUGAUCUUAUUUAGAAUAUUUUAUUUUUUCCUUUUGAAAUAAAUUAGUUGAUAAUGUACUAGAAACAUGAUAACCUGAGUUUCUUCAAAUGAAAGCUAAAUGCUAUAGAAAACAAUCAUGCUUAAAAAUAUAAUUAUUUUAAAUAAGAUCUAAAUAGACUCUUUUUAACUUUAUUAUUAUAGUUAAAAAACUAAAAGUCCUUUCAGCUUGUGGACUUUUAAUAUGUGGGCAGAAUAGUGUUUUACUAUAUUCAAGUUAUUUUUAAUAUGUGGACUUGACAUUAAAGGUAUGACAAAACACCUUUAAAGAACAAUUAAUUAUGACGAUUUAAUAAAAGUGGUCAGCAUUGAAAAAAUACUGCUAUAUUCUACAUUUUAUAGUUCAGAUCUGGGAAAGUGUAAAUCUUAUUAACCCUCUAAAUACACAUUUAUUAUUCCUUUAUUCUAUUCAUGUUCGAAUUUCAAGAACAGAGUAAUCUCUGUUCAUUUAUUUUGUAUACAACAACAUAGUGUUAAACUCCACUUGCAAUCCUUCAACUAUAUUUUCUUCAUUGUCAUCCCUACAGGAAGAAUGAAACACACAAUAGUAUCUUAGACUUAAAGGGUUAUAUAUUUUCAGGCCUGUUUCUUCCACUUCUAUCUUUGCAUAUGAAAUAUAAGUUAAGUUUUAUAGAUUUAUACAAACUCCUUAUCCCUUGUGGAAUAAGUUAAAUUCUGUUCAUGCAUUCUAAUGUUCUACCUUAUUUUCACUUUGAUUCAAAAAAAAUAUAAAUAUGAUUUACAAGUGGAAAAAAUUGUGCUUAAUGAAAGCUUCAAAAUUUAGACUCUUUCUGGCACAAGAUAGUAUUCUAUGCUAUUGGAAGAAAAUAAACUGGAUACAAUAUCAAAGAAUCAGAAAGAUUAGUAAAAUCUCUCUAACAGUAAUAAAAGCAUGAAUAGUAAGAACCUUAAGAUUUUCAAGCUAAAAUUGGAUCCUUAGUAUUUUCUGCUAGAUGGCUGCUUCUAGCAAAGGUGGAUUCCCCCAAGAAUGUCAUUGUGUAACAUUUUUGUAAUAAAAUUAAAUUUUAAAGUAUUUUUAAAAAUAGAAAACUAACUUGUCUUUCUGUAGUAAU
rnacentral:lncRNA from 10 species